UGUAACUCUCCUCUUCAUCACUGAGCAGCCAAACAGAUUCCCCUUGUACCAGUGACAUCACACACUGGGGGCGUGGUUAAUCUGAAUCAAUAAAUUGUGUGUGUGUGUGAGAUUGCUGGUUGCCGUGGCUACAGAGAUAAAACAAGCUCAGAUUCAUUUUGUUUCUAAAUGACUACAGUCACUUCUUGAUGUACCAGCAUGCACCCGGAGUCAGUGACUGGCUGUUACAUAACAGAGAGAAUGUGAGCAGCUCAGCCAGUCAGAGCCUGUGAUGUCACGGAGAACAGGAAGCGAGGAGGAGAUGAUGGUUGCGUCUAAAAUUCCAUACCAUACACUACAUACUCAAGAACACAGGAAGUCAUGGACACACCAUCGAUCACUCAGGUCACACGUCUUUCUUACUCUCCUGAUGAACAAAGCAGUCAUGGCCGCCGGCUGCUGGUUGCCUGGUAACGUGUCCUGGGAGUACGGCGGCUCUGCCAGGAGGCCGAGAGGCCCGACAUCCAAAUGAAAGAGGAGGCCACGAACGCUUCAUCUGCAGUCUGCCAACAGGCUUUAUUCAAAUGCAUAAAACUUUAUUUAACACUCAGA